rnacentral:rRNA from 1 species
UACGAAGGGGGCUAGCGUUGCUCGGAUUGACUGGGCGUAAAGGGCGCGUAGGCGGCCUGCUAAGUCGGACGUGAAAUCCCUCGGCUCAACCGAGGAACUGCGUCCGAUACUGGUGGGCUUGAAUCCGGGAGAGGGAUGUGGAAUUCCAGGUGUAGCGGUGAAAUGCGUAGAUAUCUGGAGGAACACCAAUGGCGAAGGCAGCACUCUGGGACGUGACUGACGCUGAGACGGCGAAAAGCGUGGGGAGCAAACAGG